rnacentral:rRNA from 1 species
UUGGGGAAUUUUGGACAAUGGGCGCAAGCCUGAUCCAGCAAUGCCGCGUGCAGGAAGAAGGCCUUCGGGUUGUAAACUGCUUUUGUACGGAACGAAACGGUCCUGGUUAAUACCUGGGGCUAAUGACGGUACCGUAAGAAUAAGCACCGGCUAACUACGUGCCAGCAGCCGCGGUAAUACGUAGGGUGCGAGCGUUAAUCGGAAUUACUGGGCGUAAAGCGUGCGCAGGCGGUGCUGUAAGACAGGCGUGAAAUCCCCGGGCUCAACCUGGGAAUUGCGCUUGUGACUGCAGUGCUGGAGUACGGAAGAGGGGGAUGGAAUUCCGCGUGUAGCAGUGAAAUGCGUAGAUAUGCGGAGGAACACCGAUGGCGAAGGCAGUCCCCUGGGCCUGUACUGACGCUCAUGCACGAAAGCGUGGGGAGCAAACAGGAUUAGAAACCCCAGUAGUCC